UUUCCGUAGGUGAACCUGCGGAAGGAUCAUUAUUGUAUAACCGAGGUGCGAGGGCUGUCGCUGACCCGAAAGGUCGUGCACGCCCGAGUUCCCUCACACACAUCCAUCUCACCCCUAUGUGCACCACCGCGUGGGUCCCCCUUUGGCUUGUUCGGAGGGGGGCUUACGUUUUCACACAAACUUUGUAUGCAGUGUAGAAUGUAUUUUUUGUUUUUGCGAUCACGCAAUCAAUACAACUUUCAACAACGGAUCUCUUGGCUCUC
rnacentral:misc_RNA from 1 species